UUUAUGGAGAGUUUGAUCCUGGCUCAGGAUGAACGCUGGCGGCGUGCCUAAUACAUGCAAGUCGAGCGAACAGAUAAGGAGCUUGCUCCUUUGACGUUAGCGGCGGACGGGUGAGUAACACGUGGGUAACCUACCUAUAAGACUGGAAUAACUCCGGGAAACCGGGGCUAAUGCCGGAUAACAUGUUGAACCGCAUGGUUCUACAGUGAAAGACGGUCUU
rnacentral:rRNA from 1 species